AUUUCUCGCGCUUUUAUUGUCUUCUCCUCAAUAAGAUCCUCACAGGUGCUGCAAGAAACCUCUACGAUUGGCUCAGAGUCGCCACUCUUUUUAGCAGGCGCGUGAAAUAAAUUUUAAAACGUUCUUUAUUUUGUCUGAAUUUGGAUUACCAUUAGCUUUUGCUUUUGGAUUUCGAAUUUAAAUAGCGAGGGAAUUCAAUUCAAUUAUUGAGUGGAAAAAGGCUCUCGAAAAGACUGGAUUUUUCACCUAUCUUUUUGGGUUUUAAUCGAAACCCUAUUUUCUUGUUUAUUUGAUUGAAAUUAAAGACAAAGGAAAGAUGGGAUUAUGGGAAGCUUUUCUCAAUUGGCUGCGAAGUCUCUUCUUCAAGCAAGAAAUGGAGUUGUCUCUGAUAGGACUUCAGAAUGCUGGGAAAACAUCGCUUGUUAAUGUCAUUGCAACUGGUGGAUAUAGUGAAGACAUGAUCCCAACAGUAGGAUUUAAUAUGAAGAAGGUAACAAAAGGUAAUGUCACAAUAAAGUUGUGGGAUCUCGGAGGUCA
rnacentral:misc_RNA from 1 species